rnacentral:rRNA from 1 species
CCUACGGGUGGCAGCAGUGGGGAAUAUUGCACAAUGGGGGAAACCCUGAUGCAGCGACGCCGCGUGAGUGAAGAAGUAUUUCGGUAUGUAAAGCUCUAUCAGCAGGGAAGAAAAUGACGGUACCUGAUUAAGAAGCCCCGGCUAACUACGUGCCAGCAGCCGCCGGAAUACGUAGGGGGCAAGCGUUAGCCGGAUUUACUGGGGGUAAAGGUGGCGUAGACGGCAGCGCAAGUCUAGAGUGAAAUCCCGGGGCUUAACCCCGGAACUGCUUUUGACACUGUGCAGCUAGAGUGCAGGAGAGGUAAGUGGAAUUCCUAGUGUAGCGGUGAAAUGCGUAGAUAUUAGGAGGAACACCAGUGGCGAAGGCGGCUUACUGGACUGUAACUGACGUUGAGGCUCGAAAGCGUGGGGAGCAAACAGGAUUAGAUACCCCUGUAGUC